UACGGAGGAUGCAAGCGUUAUCCGGAAUGAUUGGGCGUAAAGCGUCCGCAGGCGGCUAUGUAAGUCUGCUGUUAAAGCGUGAGGCUCAACCUCAUAAGAGCAGUGGAAACUACAUGGCUAGAGUGCGGUAGGGGCAGAGGGAAUUCCUGGUGUAGCGGUGAAAUGCGUAGAUAUCAGGAAGAACACCGGUGGCGAAAGCGCUCUGCUGGGCCGCAACUGACGCUGAGGGACGAAAGCUAGGGGAGCGAAUGGG
rnacentral:rRNA from 1 species